AUUGAACGCUGGCGGCAGGCUUAACACAUGCAAGUCGAGCGGAGUGAUGGUGCUUGCACUAUCACUUAGCGGCGGACGGGUGAGUAAUGCUUAGGAAUCUGCCAUUUAGUGGGGGACAACAUUCCGAAAGGAAUGCUAAUACCGCAUACGUCCUACGAGAGAAAGCAGGGGAUCUUCGGACCUUGCGCUAAAUGAUGAGCCUAAGUCGGAUUAGCUAGUUGGUGGGGUAAAGGCCUACCAAGGCGACGAUCUGUAGCGGGUCUGAGAGGAUGAUCCGCCACACUGGGACUGAGACACGGCCCAGACUCCUACGGGAGACAGCAGUGGGGAAUAUUGGACAAUGGGCGGAAGCCUGAUCCAGCCAUGCCGCGUGUGUGAAGAAGGCCUUUUGGUUGUAAAGCACUUUAAGCGAGGAGGAGGCUCUCCUAGUUAAUACCUAGGAAGAGUGGACGUUACUCGCAGAAUAAGCACCGGCUAACUCUGUGCCAGCAGCAGCCGCAGUAA
rnacentral:rRNA from 1 species